rnacentral:rRNA from 1 species
AUCAACUUUCGAUUGGUAGGAUAGAGGCCUACCAUGGUGGUAACGGGUAACGGGGUGUUAGGGCACGACACCGGAGAGGGAGCCUGAGAAACGGCUACCACAUCCAAGGAUGGCAGCAGGCGCGCAAAUUACCCAAUCCCGACACGGGGAGGUAGUGACAAUAAAUAACAAUACGGGGUUCUUUAGGAUCUCGUAAUUGGAAUGAGUACAAUUUAAAUCUCUUAACGAGGAACAAUUGGAGGGCAAGUCUGGUGCCAGCAGCCGCGGUAAUUCCAGCUCCAAUAGCGUAUAUUAAAGUUGUUGCAGUUAAAAAGCUCGUAGUUGAAUUUCGGGGUUAGUAGGUUGGUCAUGCCUCUGGUAUGUACUGGUCUCACUGAUUCCUCCUUCCUGAUGAACCGUAAUGCCAUUAAUUUGGUGUUGCGGGGAAUUUGGACUGUUACUUUGAAAAAAUUAAAGUGUUUAAAGCAAGCUAACGCUUGAAUACAUUAGCAUGGAAUAAUGAAAUAGGACGCUCGAUCCUAUUUUGUUGGUUUCUAGGAUUGACGUAAUGAUUAAUAGGGAUAGUUGGGGGCAUUAGUAUUCAAUUGUCAGAGGUGAAAUUCUUGGAUUUAUUGAAGACUAACUACUGCGAAAGCAUUUGCCAAGGAUGUUUUCAUUAAUCAAGAACGAAAGUUAGGGGAUCGAAGACGAUCAGAUACCGUCGUAGUCUUAACCAUAAACUAUGCCGACUAGGGAUCGGAUGAUGUUAAUUUUUUAAUGACUCAUUCGGCGCCUUACGGGAAACCAAAGUGUUUGGGUUC